GGGGGUGUACCGGUUUCGACGGGGAUGAGGAGGCGGGAUCAGCGGGCCGUGGCGCCUGGCCACCUAAAAACAGGCAACUUUAUAAAUUAAAGAACAACGAUUCUUUAGCUAUCGCUGCCUGAUUGCUGGCAGCCGUCCGACCUAAGAGUACUGCGGCUUAGGAAGGGCGUCGUUUAGCAGUGAACGUGAGUACGGAAAGAGUUGACCGUGCCAUGCAUCAUGACUCUCACCUGACCGGUAGGCGUGACGGCUUGCCUGGCGGAAGGGGAACAGGGCGGUAACGCCGCCUGAAAUAACCGUCUGCGCCCGGAGAACAUCCCGUGGAAUUGUUUUCGGACAGGGGUUCGACUCCCCUCACCUCCACCA
rnacentral:tmRNA from 1 species